GGUGGCGGACCCCACGCAGUUGUAUUUUCGUCUGGCGGAGCCCGGCGUACAGCCAGUUUGGUAUUUUCGUGGACUGAGGCGCACCAAGAUCCGCCAAGCUGGGCGUGGUGGCGUGGCAGGGGGAGGUGUCGACAGAAUCAGCGGGUGCAGUGACAUUUUCGUGCUCACCGGUGGCGUGUAAAGUGCGCUGAAAGCUUGCCGUUUCAAAC